UGAGGGGAGGGGGAAAGAGGAUGUGGGCGUGGCGUACUACGUGUCCCGUGAGCCUCCGCGGCGGGGCGGGGCCGCGGCGGCGCUAGGAGGCGGAGGCGAAGGCGGAGCUGGAGUUGGAAAGGCAGCCCAGGGUUUCCUCCGAGACCAAAAGAAGAAAGGACCCACCCACUCUAAAGAAAUUGAAAAUUGGACAAACUGGGAAAAACCUUUAGUUUGUUUCUUUCCAGGGCUGAAUGAAAUUCCAGUGUGUGGGGGGAAUGAAUAAUGUGAACAAUGCCACACUGAGCAUGGGAGUGCAGUGAGAGAUUAUCUAGAAAAUGGAAGUGAUGAAAAUUGAAAUUAUGAUACUAAAAUGCCUGAAGCCUAAAGACCUUGAUACAGAUACUAUUACUUUUCUCAAACCCAAAAGAGUUGCAUCAUCUGGAAUAGCCUGUGGUUAAAAAUGGAAACAUUUCCUAUAACAGCAGUGUUGGAGAACAAAAGAAUGACGACAACUCUUUUUUUGUUUGUUUGG